AGUGAUUCAGGUCAUAACCCACCACACUAACAAGGCUCACACGGCCACAGGCAAAGUGCUCACUGCCAGAGGAGGAAUGGAGAAGUGCCUGGCACGAUCCAGCCAGAACCUGCUCGGUCUCUAAGAAAGCCAAGAGGAUCUGCAGUGGAAAUGCCUCGCUGGAGGCUCCUGAAAUAUGUAGGGGUCCUUCUGCAUGCCUGUCACCUAUCAUCCAUUUACCACUUACCAUGUGUCUGUCUGCAUCUGUCUGUCUUCC
rnacentral:lncRNA from 1 species